rnacentral:rRNA from 1 species
AAACUCAAAUGAAUUGACGGGACCGCACAAGCGGUGGAUGAUGUGGUUUAAUUCGAAGCAACGCGAAGAACCUUACCAGGUCUUGACAUCCCUGACAACCCGAGAGAUCGGGCGUUCCCCUUCGGGGGACAGGGUGACAGGUGGUGCAUGGUUGUCGUCAGCUCGUGUCGUGAGAUGUUGGGUUAAGUCCCGCAACGAGCGCAACCCUCGACCUUAGUUGCCAGCAUUCAGUUGGGCACUCUAAGGUGACUGCCGGCUAAAAGUCGGAGGAAGGUGGGGAUGACGUCAAAUCAUCAUGCCCCUUAUGACCUGGGCUACACACGUGCUACAAUGGGCGGUACAAAGGGUCGCGAACCCGCGAGGGGGAGCCAAUCCCAAAAAGCCGCUCUCAGUUCGGAUUGCAGGCUGCAACUCGCCUGCAUGAAGCCGGAAUCGCUAGUAAUCGCGGAUCAGCAUGCCGCGGUGAAUACGUUCCCGGGCCUU